rfam:Gossypium hirsutum cultivar TM-1 chromosome 4, whole genome shotgun sequence
UGUUAAAAAUUUUAUCCAUUUGUACGGUAAAAAAUUGGUGUGAUUGACGGAAUAACCAAAUAGUGAUGUAAUACGCUACGUGUAUUUUAUGUUGACGUGUAUGUACGGCUCAAAUUUUUACCAUAGAAAUGGAUAGAAAUUUUUAUUA